rnacentral:rRNA from 1 species
UACGUCCACAUCACGUUGAAACAACGGUUCCUGUACGAUCAACGAAGUUAAGCAACGUCGAGCCUGGUCAGUAUCUUAGAUGGGUGGCCGCUUGGGAAUAUCAGGUGUUAUAA